GGAUAGGAUCUGGAACCAACUUCCAAGAGAAGUGGUGCUGGCUCCUACCCUGGGGGUCUUUAAGGGGAGGUUAGAUGAACACCUUGCUGAGGUUGUUUGACCCCAGUAAUCUUUCCUGCCAUGGCAAGGGGUCGGACUAGAUGAUCUACUCAGGUCCCUUCUGACCCUAGAAACUAUGAAACUAUGAAACUAUGAAUUCCAGAUAUAGGUGUGUAUAGGAUCCGAAAUAAACUGCCCCCAUCCUUGGUAUCUACAUUUGUCAAAUAUUUAUAGGCUUCUAACAAGUUCUCCAGCUUCUUUAGCAUCUUAGCCAAGUUAUACAUACUUAACUCUUAAUCUUUUCUCAUAGGUCUAUACCUUCAGUGCCCUUAUUAUGAUCAUUACAAAAUCCCUCCAAUGUAGCCAUUUUUUCUGGGAAUACAAUAGAUGAAAUUGAACAUAAUGUUCCAGGCAUGGUUAUUCCAAAGAUUCCUGACAAGAUAGCCACAAAACUGCCCUGGUUAUUUUUACCAUUACAAAUAUGUUGUUUAACCUCAAGUGAGUCAAAUUCAGUCUCACAUUUCAAAAGGGUACUAUGAAACUUAACUCAGAAUUGCUUAUGAAGUUUUCAGUUACUGGAGUGAUGAACACUGAGAAAUGCCUAGAAAUGAGUAAUAGAUAUUGUCUGAGGAUGUCCAGUUUACUUUCCAGUAUUAUUCCAGGCAAGGUCACACAGCAUAGCUGCUUCCUAUACUCCUUUUCUCACAUGAACUUCUACUGGGAAAAUGUAAUCAUACAUGACAGAUUUGCCAACAUCAAUAAGGAUUAUGAUACUGCAGUGCAAGAAAUACGUGCAGGAUACGGCAAGAAAAGAGAAAAACUGAAAAUAAAAGAUCUGCAAAAGCUGAUGAAAACACAAAUUAAACUUUAAUGCCAAAGUCUGAUAUUUGUCAGAUAUAGGCCCAAACCUACCCACCCAAUGCAGAAUUUUUUUGAAGGCCUGAUAACCAUUCUACUGACCAAUACUUCAACAGCAGAGGUAAGAGAAUUGUACUAGAAAAUAAGCCAAGACUUUUCAACCUUAGAAAGAGCGCCCAGUUCAGAGAUGAGGUAAAUCAGAAUAGUCCCACCGACUACACGAUAGAGAGGCAAUCAGAGAGCUGUGACCAGGGACCUAACUACCAAUUCGCUAAGUUAAGCAAGGAACUAGCGUCAAGGCAAUCUCCCAUUUCUGCCACUAAGGUAAAUUAAUGUCCUUCUGCUAACAGAAAGACUUCUGUGAAAGUCAGGGAAUUAAAAAAUGAAGACUACCAGGGCCCUGCUACAGAAUCCAGGGCUAUGGGGCCCCAUUCAACAUAGCCAUCAGCAGCACAGGGAUGAGCGAGAGCCAUUUACUCCAUCACCGACCACACUGCUGAGUCCACCAACACAGCCACUAAUUCCACCACUGCUGUCACUUCCCCCACAGCUGCCUGGUUUAGAUCCAAAUCAGAAACUCCUGUAUUAGUGCAUAAAGCAAGGUCCAAAAAACAAAAGCAUGGGAAUAACUGAGAUUGAUAAUCCACUACUCCCAGAGAGGAAGACUGAAGGAUUCCUAUUAUCAACUAAAACUCAUCCAAAAGAUAGUUAAAAGAAACAUUGUUUCUAAAUAUGCCCUUUAUCUGAUACAAGAAAUACAUUUUUCCCAAUAACAUUCAAGUUCAUUCAGAUAUUUCUUUUCAGUUGAAUAAAAGAUUUAAUUUGACUUGAAAUUAUACCUUU
ensembl:lncRNA